rnacentral:rRNA from 1 species
GUACACUCCUGCGGGAGGCAGCAGUGGGGAAUUUUGGACAAUGGGCGAAAGCCUGAUCCAGCAAUGCCGCGUGUGUGAAGAAGGCCUUCGGGUUGUAAAGCACUUUUGUCCGGAAAGAAAUCCUUGGCUCUAAUACAGUCGGGGGAUGACGGUACCGGAAGAAUAAGCACCGGCUAACUACGUGCCAGCAGCCGCGGUAAUACGUAGGGUGCGAGCGUUAAUCGGAAUUACUGGGCGUAAAGCGUGCGCAGGCGGUUUGCUAAGACCGAUGUGAAAUCCCCGGGCUCAACCUGGGAACUGCAUUGGUGACUGGCAGGCUAGAGUAUGGCAGAGGGGGGUAGAAUUCCACGUGUAGCAGUGAAAUGCGUAGAGAUGUGGAGGAAUACCGAUGGCGAAGGCAGCCCCCUGGGCCAAUACUGACGCUCAUGCACGAAAGCGUGGGGAGCAAACAGGAUUAGAUACCCUAGUAGUCCCAUGA